rnacentral:rRNA from 1 species
CCUACGGGAGGCAGCAGUGGGGGAUAUUGCACAAUGGAGGAAACCCUGAUGCAGCGACGCCGCGUGAGGGAAGACGGACUUCGGUAUGUAAAGCUCUGUCAGCAGGGAAGAAAAUGACGGUACCUAAUGAGGAAGCCCCGGCUAACUACGUGCCAGCAGCCGCGGUAAUACGUAGGGAGCGAGCGUUGUCCGGAUUUACUGGGUGUAAAGGGAGCGUAGACGGCAGCACAAGUAUGAAGGGAAAUUCUGGGGCUUAACCCCGUGGCUGCUUUGGAAACUGUGCGGCUAGAGUGCAGGAGGGGUAAGUGGAAUUCCUAGUGUAGCGGUGAAAUGCGUAGAUAUUAGGAGGAACACCAGUGGCGAAGGCGGCCUACUGGACUGUAACUGACGCUGAGGCUCGAAAGCGUGGGGAGCAAACAGGAUUAGAUACCCUAGUAGUC